rnacentral:rRNA from 1 species
AGAGUUUGAUCCUGGCUCAGAUUGAACGCUGGCGGUAUGCUUAACACAUGCAAGUCGAACGGAAACGAAACUAGCUUGCUAGUAGGCGUCGAGUGGCGGACGGGUGAGUAACGCGUAGGAAUCUGCCUGAUAGUGGGGGAUAGCCCGAAGAAAUUCGGAUUAAUACCGCAUAAUCUAUUCGUAGUAAAGUGGGGGACUUUCGAGCCUCACGCUAUCAGAUGAGCCUGCGUAAGAUUAGCUUGUUGGUAGGGUAAAAGCCUACCAAGGCAACGAUCUUUAGCUGGUCUGAGAGGAUGAUCAGCCACAUCGGGACUGAGACACGGCCCGAACUCCUACGGGAGGCAGCAGUGGGGAAUAUUGGACAAUGGGGGCAACCCUGAUCCAGCAAUACCGCGUGUGUGAAGAAGGCCUGAGGGUUGUAAAGCACUUUCAAUUGUGAAGAAAAGUUAACGGUUAAUAACCGUUGACCUUGACGUUAACUUUAGAAGAAGCACCGGCUAACUCCGUGCCAGCAGCCGCGGUAAUACGGAGGGUGCAAGCGUUAAUCGGAAUUACUGGGCGUAAAGCGUGCGUAGGCGGUUUAUUAAGUCAGAUGUGAAAGCCCCGGGCUUAACCUGGGAACUGCAUUUGAAACUGGUCAACUAGAGUAUGGUAGAGGAAAGUGGAAUUUCUGGUGUAGCGGUGAAAUGCGUAGAUAUCAGAAGGAACAUCAAUGGCGAAGGCAGCUUUCUGGACCAAUACUGACGCUGAGGUACGAAAGCGUGGGUAGCAAACAGGAUUAGAUACCCUGGUAGUCCACGCCGUAAACGAUGAUAACUAGCCGUUGGGGGGAUUUACCCCUUAGUGGCGAAGCUAACGCGUUAAGUUAUCCGCCUGGGGAGUACGGCCGCAAGGCUAAAACUCAAAGGAAUUGACGGGGACCCGCACAAGCGGUGGAGCAUGUGGUUUAAUUCGAUGCAACGCGAAGAACCUUACCUGGUCUUGACAUCCUGCGAACUUUCUAGAAAUAGAUUGGUGCCUUCGGGAACGCAGUGACAGGUGCUGCAUGGCUGUCGUCAGCUCGUGUCGUGAGAUGUUGGGUUAAGUCCCGUAACGAGCGCAACCCCUAUCCUUAUUUGCCAGCACAUUAUGGUGGGAACUAUAAAGAGACUGCCGGUGAUAAACCGGAGGAAGGCGGGGACGACGUCAAGUCAUCAUGGCCCUUACGACCAGGGCUACACACGUGCUACAAUGGGAAGGACAAAGAGCCGCGAAGCCGCGAGGUGUAGCUAAUCUCAUAAAUCUUUUCGUAGUCCGGAUUGGAGUCUGCAACUCGACUCCAUGAAGUCGGAAUCGCUAGUAAUCGUAGAUCAGAAUGCUACGGUGAAUACGUUCCCGGGUCUUGUACACACCGCCCGUCAUACCAUGGGAGUGGGUUGCACCAGAAGUGGCUAGUCUAACUUUGUGAGGACAGUCACCACGGUGUGAUUCAUGACUGGGGUAAAGUCGUAACAAGGUAACC